GGAGUCUAACAUGUACGCGAGUCUAAGGGUCCUGCUAAACCCGAAGGCGAAGCGAAAGCGAAGCCGGUCGGCGAAGCYUUCCCUCCGGGGGGGGUCUAGUCGGCGUCGGAGCUUCUAAGGGAAGAUGGUUUUCUCCUGUSCCGUCCCUGCGSCGGCCUGGGGUGCCCGCACUCCCGGGGCGUGUCCAUUGAGGACGUUGAAGCGUACCUUGAGCGCACAUGUUAGGACCCGAAAGAUGGUGAACUACGCCUGGCCAGGUCGAAGUCAGGGGAAACCCUGAUGGAGGACCGCAGCGAUUCUGACGUGCAAAUCGAUCGUCUGAGCUGGGUGUAGGGGCGAAAGACCAAUCGAACCAUCUAGUAGCUGGUUCCCUCCGAAGUUUCCCUCAGGAUAGCUGGCGCUCGUUUGGAAAGUGGAGUCACAUCCGGUAAAGCGAAUGAUUAGAGGCCUUGGGGUCGAAACGAUCUCAACCUAUUCUCAAACUUUAAAUGGGUGCGAUCCCCGGCUUUCUUGAACCCACUACUUUCCAGGGUAUGCCCGCCUAGGCUCCUGGAGUUUGUACUCUUGAAGCCGGGGUACUGAUCAGAGUGCCAAGUGGGCCAAUUUUUG
rnacentral:rRNA from 1 species